rnacentral:rRNA from 1 species
AUACGGGAGGCAGCAGUAAGGAAUAUUGGGCAAUGGACGCAAGUCUGACCCAGCCAUGCCGCGUGAAGGAUGAAUGUCCUAUGGAUUGUAAACUUCUUUUGUGCAAGAAAAACCCCUCGGUUUCGUACCGGGGCUGAUUGUAUUGCACGAAUAAGCAUCGGCUAACUCCGUGCAGCAGCCGCGGUAAUACGGAGGAUGCAAGCGUUAUCCGGAUUCAUUGGGUUUAAAGGGUGCGCAGGCGGAAUGAUAAGUCAGUGGUGAAAUCUCCCGGCUCAACCGGGAAACUGCCAUUGAUACUGCCAUUCUUGAGUACAGUUGAAGUGGGCGGAAUGUGUCAUGUAGCGGUGAAAUGCUUAGAUAUGACACAGAACACCGAUAGCGAAGGCAGCUCACUAAGCUGUAACUGACGCUCAUGCACGAAAGCGUGGGGAUCAAACUGGAUUAGAUACCCUAGUAC